UACAGAGGUCUCAAGCGUUGUUCGGAUUCAUUGGGCGUAAAGGGUGCGUAGGCGGCGCGGUAAGUCGGGUGUGAAAUCUCGGAGCUUAACUCCGAAACUGCAUUCGAUACUGCCGUGCUUGAGGACUGGAGAGGAGACUGGAAUUUACGGUGUAGCGGUGAAAUGCGUAGAUAUUGGGAGGAACACCAGUGGCGAAGGCGGCGACCUGGGCCAAUACUGACGCUGAGGUGCGAAAGCGUGGGGAGCAAACAGG
rnacentral:rRNA from 1 species